rnacentral:rRNA from 1 species
CAUGCAGUCGAGCGCGCCCUUCGGGGUGAGCGGCGGACGGGUUAGUAACGCGUGGGAAUAUACCCUUUGGUACGGAAUAGCCUCUGGAAACGGAGAGUAAUACCGUAUGAGCCCUUCGGGGGAAAGAUUUAUCGCCAAAGGAUUAGCCCGCGUUAGAUUAGGUAGUUGGUGGGGUAAUGGCCUACCAAGCCUACGAUCUAUAGC